UACGUAGGGCGCAAGCGUUAUCCGGAAUUAUUGGGCGUAAAGAGCUCGUAGGCGGUUUGUCGCGUCUGCCGUGAAAGUCCGGGGCUCAACUCCGGAUCUGCGGUGGGUACGGGCAGACUAGAGUGAUGUAGGGGAGACUGGAAUUCCUGGUGUAGCGGUGAAAUGCGCAGAUAUCAGGAGGAACACCGGUGGCGAAGGCGGGUCUCUGGGCCGAUACUGACGCUGUGGAGCGAAAGCGUGGGGAGCGAACAGG
rnacentral:rRNA from 1 species